AAUAACUCAUUUCAUCUUUAUUUUUUAAACAAUAGCCUAAAAUAUCAUUUUGUUAACUCACCGUUAGUUAAAUGUCGUUUGUUAGUAAUUCAUUAAGGGGAAAAAAAGAUUUUUCAUUAAAUCUUUUUCCAUUAAAGCUGUGAUUUCUAUUCAUUAAGGGUAAGAAAUUGAGAUUAAAGCAUACAUAUUGUUAUAGAAAUCACAGUAAUAUUAAACAGCAACCGAAUCUCUGCACAGGUAAUAAUGCCCUCUUUUCUUUUAAAUUUGCAAUGUGUUAGGAGUCGAAGUCGCAUCCAAAAUACCAAACAUUGUACCGUGCAGAAAACAUUCAUACUGCUGAUACUAAGGUCGAACCUGAAUUGCAAUCCAAACCGAAAAUUUACAACCAAAUUUUCAAUCUGAACCAAUCCAAAAAUUUAAAUCCCAAAAUUUCAGUUCGGUUUGGGUUUGAGCUUCAAUCUAAAUGGGUUGAAUUCCCCAACCCGAAUAUUUUGGAACCCAAACUACGUCACUCGGCUCGCGCGCAACCCCGCCCCAUUAUGUUAUGGAAGAAUUUAAACCAAACAACCAGAACCGAAAGCUGAUUUGUCCAUCCCGAACUAGAAUGCCUAUGUGGUGAGAUUGCAGUACACACAACCAAUAUCAUUUGUAACAUCAUAACCACAGUUUGUAUGACUACCAAGACUCUUCUUUCUUGUCAAUUGACGAGUCAUUCCUAUAUCUCAACAUAACAUAAAAAACUAAUUACUAUAUAAAGCUUGAAACCAACAAUAGUUCUCAUAAAAACAAAAAUAACUAUACAGAUCAAAAUAAAAAGCUUUAGAAAGCAAAAUACAUAGGGAAAAUAUCCACCGUCCACUCGUUUUUUCUAACUUUUUAAAAAAUACACAAUUUUUUUUUUUGCUGGAAUUCACCUAAAGUUACAUUUUGUUUCACUUUUCCACUUCCGUUUGGAAUCCGUUAAGAAAACUAACGGAAACUUUAAAAAAUGACCAUUUUACCCCCAAAACGAAAAUUACAAUCACCCUAAAAAUGCAAAAAAUAAUCAGAUUUAAUGAUGAAUAUCAUUAUUGGUACGCUAAUGAAGUACAAAAAAAUCUUAACUACUAGAGAUUAUAACUCAAUGAAUAAUAAAACUCUACUUAUCUUAAAUUCAAUUGAUAGUUUACGAAAUUAGGCUAUUUUUAAUACUACUGUUAUAAUUUAGCAUUCUAAUUACAGACAUAUUUUAAAAAAAACCUGUAUUUGAUGGUUGUGGAAUUAAUUUCUUUAUUGAUCGAUGGGAAAAAUAUUUAGAUUUAAUCUGAUUAUUUUUUAUAAUUUUUAGAGUGAAAUUGUUAUUUUCGUUUCGGAGGUUAAAAUAGUCAUUUUUUUAAAUUUCCGUUAGUUUUUUUAACGGAUUCCAAACGGAAGUGGAAAAGUAAAAUAAAAUAUAACUUUAGGUGGAUUCCAGUAAAAAAAAAAAGAAUUGUGUAUUUUUAAAAAAGUUAGAAAAAACGGAUAGACGGUGGAUAUUUUCUCAAAUACAUAAUAUCUGCAAUAAAGUAAUAUUUCUAGACUCAUAAAACAAAAAGCAAAUUCCAGGGUAAUAAUGAUAAAAUCAAUUAUAUAUGUCAGAAAUUCAUGAAAAUUUACAAAGCUACUGUGCACAGGUGUGGCAUUACUCAUAAAAAUCAACACAAGUGAGGAGCAUUUCCGAUAACUGACUUUUAACCAAAACCAUAAAAUUGUCCAGCAACAACUAAAAUAGAGAUCCACAACUUUGAAAAUUCACAAAAUAUUCAUUAGGACUAAAAAAAUAUACAUAAAAUUUAUACCCGGUAAAGAUAUACAUAAAAUUCAGAAUUUAUAGACUUAUGAAACUAAUUUAAAAGUAUUAUUAUUUUGGGUAUAACAAACCUGUCCAAAAUUUCCAAAAUCUGCUAUUACCCAUCUCAAAGAUUCAUAUCUUUGGUUACACUUGUCCAAAAAUAAAAUUUCCAGUUUUGACAAACAGAGGAGACAACAAGAAAUUUGUAUUAAAAUUAAUAAGGCAUUUAAUGAUCACAAAGUAACCCAAACUGACUCCCAAUUCAGCUUCUGAAAUUAUGAAAAACAGUCUUCAGAAACUGCAGCACCAAACAUUACUAUUUUUAUUUAUUUUUUUCUAAAAGGUUAAAAAUAACGAAAUACAAUAUACAGAAAAUAGACAUGUAGACAUAUUGAAAUAAAAUUUCCUAUAAUUUAUGGAAGCUAUUUGGUUUACCAAAUAAAUUGUAGAAGUGAGGACAACUGCUGAAAAUUGAAAUUUUCCAGGACCAGUAUUGCAACUUCGAAAAAUCAUAACAAUUCAUGCUUUAAGAAUUUUUGAACAUGAAACAUAUCAGCGAAAAGCUCAGGAACUCUAUUUUAAACCAUAAAAUUAAUUUCACAUGAUUCCAGCUAAAUCAAAAGAUAUUCAGUAUAAUAUCCACACUGCUCACAGAAUCUCAGGAUUACUAAAAACAUAUUCUCAUCAAUUUCAAGAGUUAAUCCUGUGCCAAUAAUUAUCAAUCAACCAACCAGCAAAACAGAGCAUAUUCAUGGAUUAAACAAACAAUACCUCAAGAGUUUAGCCUCCCUCAUACACAAGCAAAGCCAACCAAAAACAAGGUAAAAAGAUCCCAGGCAAACUUCUUCCAAAAUCAAAAGAAAACAACACCAUUUUCUUUUAGGAUGGGUUGUCUCUACAAUGAACAACCUCAAAGCAAUUUCUCAUUACCCACUUCAACUUUCACAAUUUACUAUUCCAAUCCUCACUAAUAAAUCAUGCCCACUAAUAUUUAUUAACACCCAGAUGAAAUUGAAUAAAACCCAUAUCAUACCCAAAAUAAUAAUAAUAAUAAUAAAGAAAAGUACUAUAAAAAUGCAAAGCCAUAACGCAAAUUACAGAGAGAGAGAGAGAGUGCCGUAGAAGCUAAAGAGCAAAGCUUUGCAGAGAAAGUUGACCAGCGAAGGACUGUCGAAACGAUGAUUAGUGGUGUUGCAUGCGAAAUAAUCAAAUAAACUAAAUUAAAUUAAACUAAAUUAAUCACACAAACGAAACUGAGAAGCAAAACAACAUGAAACACAGAGAACUUGAAGCACAAAGAGAGUCGAAACAAAAAUUAUGUAAAAUAAAAAAAAAAACCUUUCAAUCGGCUGAGACGGAAGUGGGUCAAGAGCAGGUCGACGGUGUGGAGGUGACGAGGACAGGUGGCACUGGAGACGGGAGCAGAACGACGGCAAACGUCUUGUUUUGUGAAGUUCGUUGAUGGUUAGGUUUCAAGGGCUUUGCAAUUUGAUAACAGAAAUUGUGUGGCUUCAUUUUAAACGAGGGUAAUUCAGUAAAUAUAAAAAAAAUAGGAGGGAUAUAAUGGUCAUUUUAAACGAGGGUAAUUCAAUAAAUAUAAAAAAAAUAGGAGGGAUAUAAUGGUCAGUUCAAGGAAUGGGAAUCCUCAUUCUCAACUCC
rnacentral:lncRNA from 1 species